AGAACUUUGAAGAGAGAGUUCAAGAGUACGUGAAACCGUUCAGGGGUAACCUGAGAAACCCGAAAGGUCGAAUGGGGAGAUUCAUUCGCGAACCGAACCGUCGGUGUGAGUCGUUGGAGUGACGGCGGCGUUCGCGCCGUUCGCGCCCUUCGUCUUACGAGCCGAUUUCGGACGCGUGCACUUCUCCCCUAGUAGGACGUCGCGAUCCGUUGAGUGCCGGUCUACGGCCCGCAGUGUAGCCCGCGAGCGCGGUUCGCCGUCGCUUUCGGACACGCGGUUGCCCGACCGGCUCGCUCGACGGUUCAUAGAUGGCGGGAGGCCGCGACUUAAGUUCGCGUCCGACCCGCGGCAAGCUCGCACGCUGUGUCGGCCAUCGGACCUAGUGCCGAUUCCGGCCGCUGGCGGCUGUUCGCCGUGGUGUUCUCGGACAGACCUCUUUGAAACGCCGAUCGGCGACGC
rnacentral:rRNA from 1 species